ACUGGACAACACACAGCAUCAGGAGCAGAACUGAACUUUUAAUCACACAACCUUCUUUAAAAGCUUUCUCCCAUGCAAGAGAGGGAUUUACAGUAAUUACACAAUACACCAAUCAUACACGAGUUGCCACCCACACAUCCCCUCCCCUUAGUACGACACAUAAUCCCAUUAUGUAGGACACAGUUCCCCUUGUUUUUAAACAUAGGGGUACCCCUUUAAAUAUU